ACAGGUGAAGGUGUUUUCACAUGAUUUAAAAAAAGAGUAUUUCGCAAUUUGGAUGCAAAUGAAUUAUAUAUAUUACGAAAAAAAAAAGGAUUAUGUAUUGAAUAGUGAUAAUUUGUGUACGACUUAACUCGUUUUGUUGAAAAUGGAUAGACGCAAGCGGUAUAGGCGGCAUCGACACGGCAAAGACCAUUAUCACCGUAAUAACAAUUCUUUCGACAAUCCAGGCUACCACAGAGAUGAUAUAUACAGACCUGAUUAUAGACAAAAAGACUAUUUACAUGGAAGUAUAUCGUCAGAUUCAACAUCAAAGCUGAAGUCUCCGAAAGCUAUAGUCGUUGCCAUAAGAAUAGGACUUUUAAUAGUUGUCGGCGGUGCAAUAGCGGUAUCUGUGUAUUUCACUUUUUUGCAAUAGUUCUCCAAAUGAGCAGAGCAUAGCAGUGACCAACUUUACAUUACGACAAUGCAGAGGACAUCAAAAGGGCGGUCGUUUAAAACUAGCUACAAAUAAGAUUAUGACCAAUAAUGGUUCUCCUCGCGACUAAUGCACAGCAACAAGGGAGUUAGUCAUUGCUACUCUGCAAGAUUCUUCAAGGAACGGUGAACAAGGACUCAAUAAGGGAAACUCUAUAAAUUUCAAAUUAUACUAUAAAGAAGAUAAUUUUAUAUUAUCGGAGAUAUAAUCACUAUCCAAAAAAGGAAGAUUUAGAUGGAUGUGUUUGUGUCAAUCCCAUCAAAGUUCAGCAACUUUCGCAUCUCGCUAAUAGUUUAAAAGACAUCUUGAGCCUUUCUUCACACACAGCUGCCAUUCUUUUGAAGACAAUAUUGGAUAUAUAUUAAAAAUGAAUAAAGGGACUAUUAAUAAUCAAAUCACCACUACCGAAGUUUUUAUUCAAAAACUUCCAAGACUGAAAGAAAAAUGUGUACUGAGGGGAUCUAGUGAAGAGAAGCUAUACAUUUUUGAUUGUCCUCAUCUUCUAAAAAGGUGUCUGCAAAUAUCGGAUGGUGUGUACAGCAAGUAUUAAAAAAGCAUAACAAAAAUUUGGAACUCCAAGGCAAAUUCAAAAGGUGAAGUCCAUAAAAAUUGACAAAAUCAAACGCUAUCAAUCAACAGAACAAGUGAAAAACAACUGCCAUAAAAGAGAAUGGUAGAUAAAGAUGAGUUUUCUGCUAUAGAAAUGUUUUUGGGAUAAGUGGCACAAAUAAACUAAUUAUAAAUACCAGGAUUAUAUACAAAAGACUCAUCAGUGACGCUCGAAUCAAAAUAGUUAGAAAGCCAAAAUAAAGUACGAAGUUUUAAAAGCAUUGAGGACUUUGUCAAAUACAGCUUAUGUAAUCUCUUACUGGGGUAGAAAAUUCUUAGUAUUUCGAAAAAUCUCACAGUUUUUUUUAUCAAACAGAUACUUUUCCAAGCGUUAAAGCUUUAGACAAUUCUACAAUUGGUUUUCAGGAAAAUCAUUAGCCAGAAUUUGGUGAUGUACGUUCCUUUCUGCAACUGACUAUCAGUUCAGGCUUGUAAAGGUGUGACUAAUAAUAAAUUUGUUUAAAUAAAAGGUAAAUAAACUGCAUAUGCUUGAUUGUUUCUUGGUUAAAGAUAUUUAGCUAGAUCCGAUUUCUAUAUUUUAUUUUUUUAAAAGCGUAAACAUUAAGAUUUUAUAUCUAAAUUUAAAAAUCUGGCAUUUCACAAGGAGAGAUAAUUAUACUGAAAGUUUAUGUAAAUCAACCAGUUUUGUCAUUACUUCCUGAAUAUAUCAGGAAACAAGGAAUUUACGUUUUUCAUUAUUUAUAAUAAGCAAUCUAAAAAAAAAUAGCCAGUCUAUAUAAAUCAAAUGCUUGCCUUAAGUCUUCAGUAUUAAUUCUAUAUUCCCUUUUUUACGAAUGUCUCCAUGGGCCUUCCUUAAUUCCUUUUAUAAAAGACCGAAUUGUAUUUUCAAAGAUUUAUUUUAAAAAAAAAGUACAAUGUAAAUAAGUAAUUUAAGGAACAUGAGUGUAGGGUUCGAUUUUCAAAAGGAAUUAUUAAUCCCAUCUCACUAAUCUUUAAAAAAAAUAAUAGAAUUUGAUAUAGAUUAAUACAUGGCCUUUUCCAUUUCGACCCGGGUAUCAGCCAUAUACCAUGAUGUCAGCCCGAGACAUAUGAAGUUAUAUUAAUAUUUUAUUCCUCAGCUGCUGUUAUCAAUGAAGCCCAAUAAAAUAGAAUUAAUAAGUAAAUGUGUUUGAAUAACUACGAAAAGAUCAAAUAGGUUGAAGUGUUUAACGACGUAGUCAACCCCAUUUUUGGUGCCAUUGUUGACAAUAAUAUUGAGCGGUCAAAACAAAUGGGUAAAGUUAAUAACAAAUAAGGCAAAAGAAAGACAAAGAAACGUAAGGAAGGGCUAAAAAAAGUACUGAGUAUUUAAGAUGUGACAGAAUCACACUAUGAAGGUGACGGGGCUGUUGAGCUACAUAAUUUACACGCACUAUAUCACAAUAAUCACAGGAUCAACAGUGAGUUGUUGUCAUUUUGGAUUAAGGUUUAGUCGUACAGGAAGGAACAUUUAGUGCCAGAGAAAUUAUAUGGAGAGACGGUCGAUAGGUGGUAGAGGCGUAUUGGCAGAUGCACUUUCAGCAUGCAGUAAUUGUGGCCUACCAAUUUACCAUGCUACAAACGUGAUAACUUAUGGAUUAUCAGGUAUA